CGCACGGGUGAGUAACACGUAUGGAACCUGCCCUAUGCAGGGGGAUAAGCGGAAGAAAUUCCGUCUAAUACCGCAUAACACCAUUUGGAGACAUCUCCAGGGGGUCAAAGGAGGCGACUCCGGCAUAGGAUGGCCAUGCGUCGCAUUAGCUAGUCGGCGGGGUAACGGCCCACCGAGGCAUCGAUGGAUAGGGGUUCUGAGAGGAAGGUCCCCCACAUUGGAACUGAGACACGGUCCAAACUCCUACGGGAGGCAGCAG
rnacentral:rRNA from 1 species